GCAGAUAUCACUGCAAUGGUCGCCGAGAAGCAAACUAGUAACGAAUUCAUCUUUAUUUCAAGAUUUCUCUGUUCUCCAACUGUUUCUCUCCUUCGAGACAGAUGAUUUUCUUCUUAUGUGCAGAGCUUAUAUAGGGAGUUUCAGCAGAAAAAGGCGGGCUGUGUGAAAAAGUUAAAAAGGAUUUUAAUUGCAAGAAGAUCAUUUGUCGCCUGGGAAGCGAUUGUUGAGAGGAUCAAAGCGACAAAUUUUAUAUCAAAAUAAUGGAAGCAAAAUACACAAACAGCUUGUACUGGUUGCAACCGCAGCCAAAUGUUAACAACCGGAUGUGUUAAUGCAGAUUCUGCUGAUGAGACAUAAUUGAAUGGUAACGUGGUUGAAGAGAUUGCGAUAGGCGUUUCACCUCCGUAAAUCUAUUCUAAAUGAUGAACUAUAGAUAUUUCAAUAUGUAUUGAACUGAUUUGAAUCACUUGCCCGAGCGUACUAGAUCAAUGGUCGGUCAACUUGAUUAUUAUGGUAUGAGAUGGAUCUUUCAUGCGGUAUUACAUGAAAAAUUUGAUAUAUCUUCACCCCAAAAUAUAUCAAGACAAUAAAUAAUAUUUUUAGGGAUUGUUUAUUUCUGUUAAAAACGGCGUUGCACUUUCACCAAAGUUGUUUCCCGAUUAUUUUGAUAAUUUUUUUUACACCAUCAACGAUGCCAUUACAUAUGUCGUUUUGCGAGAGUCGCGUGAGCUUUGUUGUGUAAAGGGUAUUUUUCCUCAUGUACCAGGUCUGUUACAGACAUCGGCGAUCAUGGCCUUCCAUUCCAAUCUGUUGUUAGUUCUCCUGAUGAGUUCAUUGUUGGAGGAUUCUUUCUUUGUUACGUAAUUAUUCAGACUGUCGGUGUGUUUUGUGCGUUGUCUUCCCCUACUUUUGGUACCACAAAUCUUUCCACACAGUAUUUGCUUUUCUAUCCCAUUUGCUCUGUUUAUGUGCCCAAAAAAUUGUAGUUGUCUUUUCCUGAUGGUUUUAAUUAGGGUUAGUAAUUACUUUAAUUAGUAAAUGUUAUUAUUUUUUUAAAAUAAUAUAAUGUGCUUUUUGAUUAUUCUUGUAAAGA